GGAAAAGGAACUAGGGUUCGGAGUAUGUUUGGCUUUGGCUCCGCCCCAGCCUCCUGACGUUCAAGUCAUGUUUUCUGAGGAUCUCUGGAGCUGCCAUGUUGAGAACAGCAUGAAGGGGCCAACAGCAUAAGCUGGGAGAGACAGGAGGCUACUGCAGUAAUCCAGGCUAGAGGUGAUGGUGGCUUGGACCAGAAGGGGGUCGGAUUCUGGAUGUAUUCUGAAGGCAGAGUCGGCUGCAUUUACUGAUUGGAUAAGCGUGAGAGGGGUGCUGCUCCCUGCCUGUCCACUUGGGAUUCAGGAGGCUGGAGGCUCUGAUGCAAUGUGAUCUGCCAUGAUCACCACCGCAGGGGAAGGU